AUUGAACGCUGGCGGCAUGCCUUACACAUGCAAGUCGAACGGCAGCACGGAGCUUGCUCUGGUGGCGAGUGGCGAACGGGUGAGUAAUAUAUCGGAACGUACCCAAGAGUGGGGGAUAACGUAGCGAAAGUUACGCUAAUACCGUAUACGAUCUAAGGAUGAAAGGGGGGGAUCGCAAGACCUCAUGCUCCUGGAGCGGCCGAUAUCUGAUUAGCUAGUUGGUGAGGUAAAGGCUUACCAAGGCAUCGAUCAGCAGCUGGUCUGAGAGGACGACCAGCCACACUGGAACGGAUAGACGGUCCAGACGCCUACGGGAGGCAGCAGUGGGGAAUUUUGGACAAUGGGGGAAACCCUGAUCCAGCAAGGCCGCGUGAGUGAAGAAGGCCUUCGGGUUGUAAAGCUCUUUUGUCAGGGAAGAAACGGUGAAGGCUAAUAUCCUUUGCUAAUGACGGUACCUGAAGAAUAAGCACCGGCUAACUACGUGCCAGCAGCCGCAGUAACAC
rnacentral:rRNA from 1 species